rnacentral:rRNA from 1 species
AUUGAACGCUGGCGGCAGGCUUAACACAUGCAAGUCGAGCGGAGAUGAGGUGCUUGCACCUUAUCUUAGCGGCGGACGGGUGAGUAAUGCUUAGGAAUCUGCCUAUUAGUGGGGGACAACAUUCCGAAAGGAAUGCUAAUACCGCAUACGUCCUACGGGAGAAAGCAGGGGAUCUUCGGACCUUGCGCUAAUAGAUGAGCCUAAGUCGGAUUAGCUAGUUGGUGGGGUAAAGGCCUACCAAGGCGACGAUCUGUAGCGGGUCUGAGAGGAUGAUCCGCAACACUGGGACUGAGACACGGCCCAGACUCCUACGGGAGGCAGCAGUGGGGAAUAUUGGACAAUGGGCGGAAGCCUGAUCCAGCCAUGCCGCGUGUGUGAAGAAGGCCUUUUGGUUGUAAAGCACUUUAAGCGAGGAGGAGGCUACCUAGAUUAAUACUCUAGGAUAGUGGACGUUACUCGCAGAAUAAGCACCGGCUAACUCUGUGCCAGCCGCCGCCGUAAGAC